rnacentral:lncRNA from 10 species
UUUUUAAUUAAAAAUUCAUUCAGUUUCAAAAAAAAAAUCUUCUGAUUAAUCCCCUUCUGACAUAAUUUUCUGAAGCCUAUAUCAGUAGACUUAAAUAAAAUGACACAUGUAUUUAUCACAUAGUUUAUGAAGCACCCUCACAUAUUGUCUCCUUGCCAGUGGCCCAUUAUCUCCAUUUAUCUUUUACAGGGGAGGGCUCAAGUUCUAAGAGGUCUAACUCAAGGCCACAGGGAAACAAAUUGCAGAGCCAGCACAGGAGACUUUGUUCUCCAACUUCUUGUAAUUGGUUCUCAAAUUUGAGCAUGCAUUAGAAUCGCCUGGGGGACCUGUUAUUAAAACACAGAUUUCUAAGCCCCACAAGCAGAGUUCUUGAUUCAGUAAUUCUUUGAUGGAACCAAGCAUUGCAUUUCAAACAAAUUCUCAGGUGAUGCUGUUGCUGCUGAUCUGGGAACUACACUUUGAGAUCCACUGGUCUAGAACACACUGUAAGUGUUAGUCUCAUGUUCCUUACACCAGACCAAGAACAAUUUCAUGAAAUAAAAACAAGUAUGUAAUACAAAGGACAGGAUAAUAUUAUAAAAAUAUCUUCAGACCCAUGGCCUCCCUUCUUCUGACCCCUUACCAAAGAAGUUCAGAGUUUAUCAUCAUUGCUGUCUUACUGUAAUGCCCUGAGGUUGAAGUGGUAAUAGCCUGAUGGUAUGGAGAGAGGAGACUCUGUGGUCUUUGUGUUAGCAAAAUGUGUUUCCAGAGUAUGAUCAUUUUCAUCUUUUCUGGUGAUUCAUCACAUGCUGCUCUCUCAGCAGGCUUUCGGCAUUUGGCAUCCACAGGAAACUCCAGCUUGACUUAAGGAGUGAGGUAAGUCUUAUUUUCAGCAAGGAAAUAUUCACCAUUGCUAAAUUAGUUUGGAUUUGCUUUAGAUUUAAACAUGGGUUUAUUUUAAAAGACACUGAGGCCAAAGGAAAAACAAACAGCCCUGCAUGUGUUGGGGAAGCACUGUCUUAUUGACAGAGAAGCUGGCUAGCUGAAAUCAAAUGUUUUUCAGAACAAAGAUAUUAUGGUCUUAAGAUUUCACUUGAAUUUAAAUUCUAGAAUAUUCUAACAAUAAUGAGCAUUUAAUAUGUGCUAGAUUUUUAAAAAUUUUACUUUAAAUUCUGGGAUACAUGUGCAAAACAUGCAGUUUGUUACAUAGGUAUACAUGUGCAGUUUCUGUGGCAUUCCUAGCAAACCUAAGAAGGAGGAUUUUAAAUAUCUCCAUUUUAUUUAUGAGAAAACCAAGGCCAAAAGAGAUGAGGUGAUCUACCUAAGAUCACGUAGCUUAUUAAGAGGAGGGAUUUGAACCCAAACUUAGUCUGGAUUCUGUGUUUGGGCUUACAACCAUUAUUCACUAAAUGACCCAUGAUAUCUGAAAAGAAUCCAUAGGGAAAGAAGAAGCAAGAAUGAGACUAAGCCCAAGUGUAAUGCUUUCCCAGGACUGAGCCAGCAAAAUGUAAUAAUUUUCCAUCUUAAUUCCUUUGACUUACAACUGGGAACCAGUAUUCUGGGUCCAAGACAGACAACCUCAAACCUUGGAUGACUCAUGGAUACUUUUAGCUCAUCUAGGUAAAUUGCCUUAACAACAACAACAACAACAACAACAAGCAACAACAAUAAUAAAUUAGUGAGUAGUAAUGGGAAAGAAAACUAAAUGAAAUAAUUUGAUUCAGAUACAUAGAAAAUUAAGGAAGAAAACAAUUCUGUUUCACCUGAUAGGUCCUAAUUUAAUCUAGUAUCAAGGUCUGGUAUCAAUCAUUUCUCUCUCAAAAGCAAAAAUAAUAAGACUUUUUUUUGUUACAUGAGUCAUUUUGUGAAACUAAUUAACUUCCUGUGGAACACAAUGCUCUCCCAUUAUUUUUUGGCCGAACUAUCAGGUGGUUAACUCCUUUAUUUAUUUCUUCUUUUUAAAAAAUUGUCUACCAAACUAAAGUUGAGAAAGAGGAGAGGGAGGGUCAGAGGGUGUCACAAUUGUUACCCUUCUCAACAUUCAUAUUAUUACUUGGUUACCAAAGACCUCAGCUUGAAAUGAAGGAAUAUUAGCUCAAGUUAUGGACUCUUUGCUGCUUUCAAAUUGUUUUUAACUAUGCAAUUGUCAAACUUUCUUAGGAGUUUCUGGAGUUCUUCAUUUAGUGCUGAGAAAAUAAAUAACUUUAAUUGAUAUAUCAAUUUAAAUUUAUGAGGAGUUUCAUAUAUAUUAUUCAGUUUGAUUCUUGUAACAAUUCAUGACCUAACUCAUGUGGGUACUAUACUUCUUAUUUUUCAAAUGCAGAAACUAAUACCCAGGGAAACGCAUGUGGAAAAACUUUUAUUUAGUAAAUGACAAAAUUCAGAUUUGAAUCCCAGCUUUAAAACAAUAAAAUUUUAGUUCUUUUUAGUUUUUGUACUAUAAUGUAAUACCAGAUUAUAUAAAAUAACCUUAUUAUAGUUUUUCUUGUAAUCACCAUUGAAAACAGUUUACGUAUGUAUUUUAAAGGAAAACACAAUCCAUUUUUUCCCAAGCAAGUUAUUAAUAUUUGAGGAAUGUGGAAACUCAAAUAAAAGUUCUGUUUUAAAUUUUGGAAAGUAAUUUCAAUACAAAGUCUUUAAAUUACAAAAAAAACUUUGAAAAUCAUUGAUAAACUAUUUUGAAAGUGUUAUAUUUGUAAUUUGUUGACAAGUGCUAAUUUUCCAUUUCAAAGAUAUGAUUAAAAACAAAAUGAAGUUCAGUUUCCAGUUCUGCAUGCUUGGAAGUUGCCACUCUGUCCAAACAAUAGGUAAAAAUAAGUAAAAAGCUAAAUAAACUAAAAAAUAAAUAAAUAGAAACAACUUAGAUACUUCACAGAAGCAAAGUCACAGGGUAAAUCUGCUAUCUCCCAAACUGGAAAUACGGGCAGAUAGAGAGACUCUCCAUAUACCAGAGAACAAAUCUCCCCAGGAAUCAUUGCUGAAGUAGAAAAACCUGAGCUAUAAUUGACAAAUUCCUGGAGGCUAACUGUGGACAAGUCUGAGAGUUAAAAACUUCAGGCGGACCUAGUCAUAGGAGGGUACUGACAUGUUUGUGAGUUUUAUCACCAGGUUCUCACAGAAAACAUCAGAAAGAAAUACUUCCAUGCUUCCAGCAAGGGAGAAGGGAAAGGAUCCAUUCUGAAUUAAGCGCACCCUGUUCUUAAUAAGGUCUGUCCUCAAAAGAAACCAGUUAACCACAGAGCCUAAUUUCCUAGGGAAAACCCAGCUGACUUGGGAGAAGAAAAAUACCCAACUGAAGCCUACUUUAGCCAUUUUGUUCCACUUAAGGUUUGGGGAAAGGAUGGAGAAGCAUGUGUAAAGUUCACAGUCCAGAGAGACAAACUCACUAAAAGACUGAAACCUACUUGUAGAACUAUAUAAUCCUUCCCUUCCCACACACCUCACCACCACAUUACUAAAGACCUAUUUACAGCAGUCGCUUUGAUCCAAUACAUUAGGUUUGACUAUCAAGAAAAAAUUCAAGGCAAACUAAAAGGCAAAAAACAUUAUGAAAAGACAGUGAAAGCAUCAGAACCAGACAUGGCAGGGAAUUUAGGAUUAUCAGGAAAUUUUAAAACAUUAUUAAUAUGGUAAGAGCACUAACGGGUAAAGGAGACUACAUGCAAGAACAGAUGGGCAAUGUAAGCAGAGAAAUUGCAAUUCUGAGAAAGUACCAAAAGAAAAUGCUGGACACAAGAAAACACUAACAAAAAUAAAGAAUGCCUUUGAUGAGCUUUUUAGUAGACUAGACAUGGCGGAGAAAAAGGUCUCUGAACUUGAGACUAUAUUAAUAGAAACUUUCAAAUCUGGAAAGCAAAGAGGACAAAGAUUGGGCGGGGUGGAGAGGUGGGGACAGAGGGAGAAUAAAAUAUCCACAAACUGUGGAACAACUACAAAAAGUAUAACUUACAUGUAGUGGAAAUACUAGAAGAAAAAGGAAAACAACAGAAUAUUUGAGACAAUAAUAACUGAGAAUUUUUCCGGAUUAAUAUCAGACACCAAACCACAGAUUCAGGAUGUACACAGAACACCAAGGAAGAUAAAUGACAAAAACAAACAAACAACAACAAAAAACUACACUUAAGCAUGCCAUUUUCAAACUACAGAAAAUCAAAGAUUUUUUUUCUAAAUCCUGAAAGAAGCCAGAGGGGGAUAAAACAGCUAAUUUUAUUGCUUUUAGUUUGUGUGUGUGUGUGUGUGUGUAGAUAUAUAGUAGGUGUAUAUAUUUAUGGGGUACAUGAAAUAUCUUGAUACAGGCAUACAAUGUGCAAUAAUCACAUCAGGGUAAAUGGGGUAUUCAUUACCUGAAGCAUUUAUCCCUUCUUUACGUUACAAACAAUCCAAUUAUACUCUUUUAGUUAUUUUUAAAUGUAAAAUAAAUUAUUGUUGACGGGAGUCACUCUGUUGUGCUAUAAAAUACUAGAUGUUAUUAAUUCUACCUAAUUGUAUUUUUGUGCACAUUAACCAUUGUCUCUUCCCCUAGUCACUAUACUUUCUAGCAUCUGGUAACCAUUGUUCUAUUCUCUAUCUCCAUGAGUUCAAUCGUUUUAAUUUUAUUUCUCACAAAUAAGUGAGAACAUGAAAAGUUUGUCUUUCUGUGCCUGGCUUAUUUUGCUUAAAGUAAUGGCCUCCAGUUCCAUCCAUGUUGCAAACGACAAGACCUCAUUCAUUAUUAUGGCUGAAUAGUACUCAACUGUGAAUAUGCUCCACAUUUUAUUUACCUGUUUGUCUGUUGAUGAACAUGUACAUUGCUUCCAAAGCUUAGCCAUUGUGAAUAAUGCUGCAAUAAACGUGAGUGUGCAGA